rnacentral:misc_RNA from 1 species
GGGAGUGUGAAGAUGAUGAGUAGUGCUGCUCUAGGGAAGUAUGAUAUGAAGACAAAGAAGAGAGUUCCAUUGAAGUUUGUGGAAGAUGAAGAUGAUUUAUCACUGCAUGUCGCGGCGAUAAGGAAGGAGGUUAAAGGGCGGAGUAUGCAGAAAAUUGAAACCGAAGAAGACGAGAAGGAAACAAUACUUAGCUCUAAAAGUCAAGGC